rnacentral:rRNA from 1 species
CUUAGUGGCGGACGGGUGAGUAACGCGUGGUAACCUGCCUUGCACUGGGGGAUAACACUUAGAAAUAGGUGCUAAUACCGCAUAAGCGCACGGUCCUGCAUGGGACAGUGUGAAAAACUCCGGUGGUGCAAGAUGGACCCGCGUCUGGUUAGCUGGUUGGCGGGGUAAAGGCCCACCAAGGCGACGAUCAGUAGCCGGCCUGAGAGGGUGGACGGCCACAUUGGGACUGAGACACGGCCCAAACUCCUACGGGAGGCAGCAG